GUCUCUUCAGAGACAUCCGGUAAUAUUGGAACGAUACAGAGAAGAUUAGCAAGGCUCUUGCGCAAGGAUAAUAUGCACAACUCGAGAAAUAGUUUAAAUUUUC